UACGUAGGUGGCGAGCGUUGUCCGGAAUUACUGGGUGUAAAGGGCGUGUAGGCGGGGAUGUAAGUCAGAUGUGAAAUCCCAUGGCUCAACUGUGGGGCUGCAUCUGAAACUAUGUCUCUUGAGUGCCGGAGAGGGAAGCGGAAUUCCUAGUGUAGCGGUGAAAUGCGUAGAUAUUAGGAGGAACACCAGUGGCGAAGGCGGCUUUCUGGACGGUAACUGACGCUGAGGCGCGAAAGCGUGGGGAGCAAACAGG
rnacentral:rRNA from 1 species